rnacentral:misc_RNA from 1 species
GACAAAUAUGGGAUUUCCAAGAGAUCAAGUAAGAGCAACUGUGCAGAGACUGACAGAGAAUGGACAGUCAGUAGAUUUGAAUGUGGUGUUGGACAAAUUGAUGAAUGGCGGGUAAGGCCAGCCGCCACAAGGCUGGUAUGAUAGGUGACAUGUUUCCACUUGUUCAUGUUUCUCCAUAGAAGUUUGAGGUACAUAUAUGGAAAUAAAGAAAAUCACAGAACAAAUUUGGAAAAAGGACAGUCUCUGUUGGGAUUUAAACGGACUCUGUUUACU